GGCGGGGUCUGGGGAUCAACAACAACAACAAAUAUAAUAUAAUUUCACAGGAGGGGUUUUGGAGAGGAUAGUAUUACACGAGCGGGAUCUGGAGAAGCUAGUGCGUACACGCACCUUAAUCCUGAAUGAACUAUUGACAAAGUACUAAGAACAACUGAGAUGGAAAGAGAGACACAAAGAGAGUGAGCAUAUCCAAGUGGCUGCUAUACUACAAAAGGGCUGAAAUAAGGGAAAAGAAAAUGAAUUCACUACUAUUUCAGUCCAGAUUGUAAAAUCUCAGCAGAAAGGUAAAAGCUUGAAUUCGGAAAAAAGAAAUCUUGGCUCAGGUAUUGAAAAUCACCAAGCAGACAACAGAGUAAAAACAGAGCAAAAACUGAGCAAAAGUUAAAAUUGGCAAGAACUUACCAAAUAGAAGAAGAACAACAAAUUCCUUUUAAGGGUUAUUCAAAUCAACAAACCCCACAAAAAAGCACUAAAGAAUUCACUAAAAAGUUAGUUUCUUUAGUGAGAAAUCUUUGCUAAAACUAGUUCAAGACUCUGUUUUUUAACUUGCUGCUGAAGGAGGAAAGAGAGAGGAAAUAAGGAGAUGGGAUUCUAUUUUUGGGUUCAAUUUAAGAUGUUUUGAGAGAGAGAGAAAGAGAGAGAGUUGUGUCAGGUUUG
rnacentral:lncRNA from 1 species